rnacentral:rRNA from 1 species
CGAGGAGCAGCCCGCCGGCGGCCAACCAAACUCUUGUUUCUUAGUGGAUCUCUGAGUAAAAAACAUAAAUGAAUCAAAACUUUCAACAACGGAUCUCUUGGUUCUGGCAUCGAUGAAGAACGCAGCGAAAUGCGAUAAGUAAUGUGAAUUGCAGAAUUCAGUGAAUCAUCGAAUCUUUGAACGCACAUUGCGCCCUCUGGUAUUCCGGAGGGCAUGCCUGUUCGAGCGUCAUUUCAACCCUCAAGCACUGCUUGGUGUUGGGGCACCGCCUGUAAAAGGGCGGGCCCUGAAAUCUAGUGGCGAGCUCGCCAGGACCCCGAGCGUAGUAAUUAUAUUUCGUUCUGGAAGGCCCUGGCGGUGCCCUGCCGUUAAACCCCCCAACUUCUGAAAAUUUGACCUCGGAUCAGGUAGGAAUACCCGCUGAACUUAAGCAUAUCAAUAAGUCGGA